rnacentral:rRNA from 1 species
CUCGUAGGCGGCCAACUAAGUCAGACGUGAAAUCCCUCGGCUUAACCGGGGAACUGCGUCUGAUACUGGAUGGCUUGAGGUUGGGAGAGGGAUGCGGAAUUCCAGGUGUAGCGGUGAAAUGCGUAGAUAUCUGGAGGAACACCGGUGGCGAAGGCGGCAUCCUGGACCAAUUCUGACGCUGAGGAGCGAAAGCCAGGGGGGCAAACGGGAUUAGAUACCCCGGUAGUCCUGGCCCUAAACGAUGAAUGCUUGGUGUGGCGGGUAUCGAUCCCUGCCGUGCCGAAGCUAACGCAUUAAGCAUUCCGCCUGGGGAGUACGGUCGCAAGGCUGAA